UUAACACAUGCAAGUCGAGCGCCUUUUGGCUUCGGUCAACUGGGAGCGGCGGACGGGUGAGUAACACGUAGGUAACGUGCCUUUUGCGGGGGAUACUCCGGGAAACCCGGGACAAUACCGCAUAUGUCCUUUCGGGGAUGAAAGCCUUCGGGCACCAGAAGAGCGGCCUGCGGCCCAUUAUUUAAUCCUUGUUGGUGAGGUAACGGCUCACCAAGGGUACGAUGGGUAGCUGAUCUGAGAGGAUGAUCAGCCACACUGGGACUGAGACACGGCCCAGACUCC
rnacentral:rRNA from 1 species